UACGUAGGGUGCGAGCGUUAAUCGGAAUUACUGGGCGUAAAGCGCACGUAGGCGGUUAGUUAAGUUGGAUGUGAAAGCGCCGGGCUCAACCUGGGAAUUGCAUUCAAAACUGGCUAACUAGAGUAUGUGAGAGGGGGGUAGAAUUCCAAGUAUAGCGGUGAAAUGCGUAGAGAUUUGGAGGAAUACCAGUGGCGAAGGCGGCCCCCUGUCACAAUACUGACGCUGAGGUGCGAAAGCGUGGGGAGCAAACAGG
rnacentral:rRNA from 1 species